rnacentral:rRNA from 1 species
UUCCGGUUGAUCCUGCCGGACCCGACUGCUAUCGGAUUGAGAUUUAGCCAUGCGAGUCGAACGUCCCCCUGUUGCGGGGGGCGUGGCGUACGGCUCAGUAACACGUAGUCAACCUGCCCUGGAGACAAGGACAACCCCGGGAAACUGGGAUUAAUCCUUGAUAGGUCAUCUCAUCUGGAAGGAGAGAUGGCUUAAAGGGGUACGCGGGCUUCUUCCGCGAAUCUGCUCCAGGAUGGGACUGCGUCCGAUCAGGCUGUUGGCGGGGUAAUGGCCCACCAAACCUGUAACCGGUACGGGCCUUGAGAGAGGUGGCCCGGAGAUGGACACUGAGAGAAGGGUCCAGGACCUACGGGGCGCAGCAGGCGCGAAACCUUCGCAAUGCGCGAAAGCGUGACGAGGUUAAUCCGAGUGACUCCCGCCUGAGGGGGUCUUUUGUCAGCUGUAAAUAGGCAGGCGAAUAAGGGGAGGGCAAGCCUGGUGUCAGCCGCCGCGGUAAUACCGGCUCCUCGAGUGGUCGGGGCGAUUAUUGGGCCUAGAGCAUCCGUAGCCGGUUCCGUAGGUCCUCUGUUAAAGUCAAACCGCUUAACGGUUGACCUGCAGAGGAUACCGCGGGACUAGGAGGCGGGGUAGGCGGACGGUACUCCGCGUGUAGGGGUAAAAUCCUUUGGUACCAAAGACCACCAGUGGCGAAGGCGGUCCCCCAGAACGCGCUCGACGGUGAGGGAUGAAAGGUUGGGGGAGCGAACCCGAUUUGAUACCCGGGUAGUCCCAGCCGCUGAACGAUGCUAGCUAGAUGAUUCAUUCGCAAGUCG